UGUUCAGCUGCGGCGGGGAGUGGCCUCCCUCCGGUCGGCACGACGAGUAAAGCUAUUUAGGAAAAUCUGAGAUAAAUAUCACUUGCAUAAUAAUUUGGAACACGGUCCCGUGUUCCAAAUUAUUAUGCAAAAUGUAUUUAGACACCAGCAAUCGCACUUAGAUUUGUUUCUUUUUUCUUUCUUUUAGCUUCCAUAAUGUUACCGGGCGCUGACGCAAACCCACGCCGGGCAGGAGAGCUCAAAAGCCGGGUAACAUUUCAAGGAAGCUAUUUAGGAAAAUCUGAGAUAAAUAUCCUUUGCAUAAUAAUUUGGAACACGGUCCCGUGUUCCAAAUUAUUAUGCAAAAUGUAUUUAAGUGUCAUAAAGAUUACAUUUUUUGUUUUUCAAGUACUGAAAUCACCCUCAGUCAUGGUACAGUCCAUGGUAGUCUGCCAGGUGAGCGCAAUUGUAGUAAUUAACAAGUCUAUUUAAGUUCCGCGUUUUUAAGCGUUCGGCCAUUUCGUUCAACCAUGGGGAGGAAAAAGGAUCUCUCUGCUGUCGAGAAGCGUGAAAUCGUUCGAUGCCUUGGACAAGACAAAGGCACGACAAGGAAGGUUUCUGCAAGACAAACAAAUCGAAUCAAGAGGGCGGCUGCAAGCAUGCCACUAAAGACGAGCAAACAAAUAUUCGACGCUGCUGGUGCCAGUGAAGUCCCACGAACGACGAGGUGCAGGAUCCUCCAGAGGCUUGCAGUUGUGCGGAAACCCUCCAUUCGGCCACCCCUGAACAACGCGAACAAGCAGAAACGGCUGCAGUGGGCCCAGACUUACAUGAAGACAAAUUUUCAGACAGUCCUGUUCACCGACGAGUGCCGUGCAACCUUGGAUGGGCCAGAUGGAUGGAGUCGUGGAUGGUUGGUGGACGGCCACGAUAGCCCAACAAGGCUGCGGCGUCAGCAGGGAGGUGGCGGAGUGAUGUUUUGGGCCGGAAUCAUGGGGAGAGAGCUGCUUGGCCCCUUUAGGGUCCCUGAAGGCGUCAAAAUUACGUCUGUUAACUACGUGGAAUUUCUGACUCAACACUUCUGUCCAUGGUACAACAGGAAGAACCGUGCUUUCCGUCAAAAGAUCAUCUUCAUGCAUGACAAUGCACCAUCUCAUGCUGCAAGAAAUACGUCAACGUCUUUGGCAUCUAUGGGAAUAAAGGGAGAGAAACUGAUGGUGUGGCCCCCAUGCUCCCCUGACCUCAAUCCUAUUGAAAACUUGUGGAGCAUCGUCAAGCAGAAAAUCUACGAAGGUGGGAGGCAGUUCAAUUCCAAAGAGCAGCUCUGGCAGGCUAUUCUUAGAUCCUGCCAAGAAAUUCAACCAGAAACUGUACAAAAACUCACAAGUUCAGUGGAUGGAAGAAUCGUGAAGCUGCUGUUGAAC